UACGGAGGGAGCUAGCGUUAUUCGGAAUUACUGGGCGUAAAGCGCACGUAGGCGGCUUUGUAAGUUAGAGGUGAAAGCCUGGAGCUCAACUCCAGAAUUGCCUUUAAGACUGCAUCGCUUGAAUCCAGGAGAGGUGAGUGGAAUUCCGAGUGUAGAGGUGAAAUUCGUAGAUAUUCGGAAGAACACCAGUGGCGAAGGCGGCUCACUGGACUGGUAUUGACGCUGAGGUGCGUAAAGCGUGGGGAGCAAACAGG
rnacentral:rRNA from 1 species